AGACAGUACUUCAAAAGAUAGCUGGAUAGAAACACUUCGUCACAUCAAGCUACGAGAAAGUUUAGCAUCAUCUCACCGAAAUCUACUCCAAAUCUGCAUCGAAAUCAGACUUUGAAAAUGGCGGCAAAAAACAUGAUUGCUCUCUACUUUCUGAUUGCCCUGGCCGUGGCUGCAAGUGUUAAUUUAGUCGAGGAAGAUCAGAUCGAACAUUCUGAUGGGUGGAAUGUCGAGGAGAACGAGGGCCAAGGCUCCACAAAUGCUUGUGUUAGUGACGGAUAUAAGUGCUACUGUAAUGGACAAGGAGUAGUCUAUUGUACAGAAGAGAAGGCCUCCGGGUAAUAGUAGCGUCGAGAAGCCCGGGAAGAUAUAUGAGUUGGAUCUUCUCCAUGCAUGUGGUCAGACGACUUCUCUGUUUACUGAGACCAAAUUACUGCGAAUAAAAAAUAUCAUGGAUGAUCAGUCAU